CCCCGCCCCUACUCGUGGCCUGAGCAGGCAGCCCCCGAGGCGGCGGCCCGGGCAGCAGGUCCCAGUGUGGCUGUCUAGAAGCUGUCCUUGGGAAAUGACUGAGCAGUCCAGCUGUGCUUUCUCCUCAAGUUGUUUUCAGCUUAGUGAAACAUUGCUUUGCAUUGCCUUUCCCCUCACCCUUGCUGCCCUGGGGUCGUACCUCCUAAUAAAAUCUUAGCACUUAAA